AUCGCUUCUCGGCCUUUUGGCUAAGAUCAAGUGUAGUAUCUGUUCUUAUCAGUUUAAUAUCUGAUACGUCCUCUAUCCGAGGACAAUAUAUAUAUUUUUUUUUUUUUUUUUGUGGUUUUUGGGUCACACCCGGCAGUGCUCAGGGGUUAUUUCUGGUUCCAGGCUCAGAAAUUGCUCCUGGGGGCC